CAGCCGCCACGGUAAUACGUAGGGUGCAAGCGUUAAUCGGAAUUACUGGGCGUAAAGCGUGCGCAGGCGGUUAUGUAAGACAGGUGUGAAAUCCCCGGGCUUAACCUGGGAACUGCGCUUGUGACUGCACAGCUAGAGUAUGGCAGAGGGAGGUGGAAUUCCACGUGUAGCAGUGAAAUGCGUAGAGAUGUGGAGGAACACCGAUGGCGAAGGCAGCCCCCUGGGCCAAUACUGACGCUCAUGCACGAAAGCGUGGGGAGCAAACAGGAUUAGAUACCCCUGUAGUCCCUGUCUCUUAUAA
rnacentral:rRNA from 1 species